rnacentral:rRNA from 1 species
UGCCCGGUGACCCAGUUCAACGGCCGCGGUAUCCUAACCGUGCAAAGGUAGCGCAAUCAAUUGUCCCAUAAAUCGAGACCUGUAUGAAUGGCUAAACGAGGUCUUAACUGUCUCUUACAGGCAAUCAGUGAAAUUGAUCUUCCUGUGCAAAAGCAGGAAUGAACCCAUAAGACGAGAAGACCCUGUGGAACUUCAAAAUCGCGGCCACGCCAAAUUACAUACAAACCCACACGGGCUCACACACUUACUAGGCCCCUGGCACGCAUUUUUCGGUUGGGGCGACCUUGGAGAAAAACAAAUCCUCCAAAAACCAGACCAAAACUCUUGACCAAGAGCAACCCCUCAACGUGCUAACAGCAUCCAGACCCAAUAUAAUUGAUCAAUGGACCAAGCUACCCCAGGGAUAACAGCGCAAUCUCCUCCGAGAGUCCGUAUCGACGAGGAGGUUUACGACCUCGAUGUUGGAUCAGGACAUCCUAGUGGUGCAGAGGCUACUAAGGGUUCGUU